GCAUAUCAAUAAGCGGAGGAAAAGAAACCAACAGGGAUUGCCCCAGUAACGGCGAGUGAAGCGGCAAGAGCUCAAAUUUGAAAGCUGGCCCCCUCGGGGUCCGCAUUGUAAUUUGCAGAGGAUGCUUCGGGAGUGGCCCCCAUCUAAGUGCUCUGGAACGGGCCGUCAUAGAGGGUGAGAAUCCCGUAUGGGAUGGGGUGUCCGCGACCAUGUGAAGCUCCUUCAACGAGUCGAGUUGUUUGGGAAUGCAGCUCUAAAUGGGUGGUAAAUUUCAUCUAAAGCUAAAUAUUGGCCGGAGACCGAUAGCGCACAAGUAGAGUGAUCGAAAGAUGAAAAGCACUUUGAAAAGAGAGUUAAAAAGCACGUGAAAUUGUUGAAAGGGAAGCGCUUGCGACCAGACUCGCCUGCGGGGUUCAGCCGGUAUUCGUACCGGUGUACUUCCCCGUGGGCGGGCCAGCGUCGGUUUGGGCGGCCGGUCAAAGGCCCUCGGAAUGUAACGCCUCUCGGGGCGUCUUAUAGCCGAGGGUGCCAUGCGGCCAGCCCGGACCGAGGAACGCGCUUCGGCACGGACGCUGGCAUAAUGGUCGUAAGCGACCCGUCUUGAAACACGGACCAAGGAGUCUAACAUCUACGCGAGUGUUCGGGUGUCAAACCCGUGCGCGCAGUGAAAGCGAACGGAGGUGGGAACCCUCACGGGUGCACCAUCGACCGAUCCUGAUGUCUUCGGAUGGAUUUGAGUAAGAGCGUAGCUGUUGGGACCCGAAAGAUGGUGAACUAUGCCUGAAUAGGGCGAAGCCAGAGGAAACUCUGGUGGAGGCUCGCAGCGGUUCUGACGUGCAAAUCGAUCGUCAAAUUUGGGUAUAGGGGCGAAAGACUAAUCGAACCAUCUAGUAGCUGGUCCUGCCGAGU
rnacentral:rRNA from 1 species